rnacentral:rRNA from 1 species
GCCGCGGUAAUACCGGCGCCUCAAGUGGUAGUCGCUUUUAUUGGGCCUAAAACGUCCGUAGCCGGUUUGGUACAUUCGUGGGUAAAUCAAGGCGCUCAACGUCUUGAAUUCUGCGAGCACGGCCAGACUUGGGACCGGGUGAGGUGUGGGGUACUCUCAGGGUAGGGGUAAAAUCCUGUCAUCCUGAGAGGACCACCUGUUGCGAAGGCGCCACACUAGAACGGAUCCGACGGUCAGGGACGAAGCCUAGGGGCACGAACCGGAUUAGAUACCCGGGUAGUCCUAGGUGUAAACGCUGUGGACUUGAUGUUGGGAGUGCUCCGAGCACCCUCAGUGUCGAAGCGAAGGUGAUAAGUCCACUGCCUGGGGAGUACGGUCGCAAGGCUGAAACUUAAAGGAAUUGGCGGGGGAGCA